rnacentral:rRNA from 1 species
GAUGAACGCUGGCGGCGUGCCUAAUACAUGCAAGUCGAGCGAACAGACGAGGAUCUUGCUGCUCUCACGUUAGCGGCGGACGGGUGAGUAACACGUGGAUCACCUCCCUAUCUGACUGGGAUAACUUCGGGAAACCGGCUCUAAUCCCGUAUAAUAUGUUGCUUCGCAUGGUUCAACGGUGAAAGACGGUCUUGCUGUCUCGUCUAGCUGCAUCUGGGCCGCAUGAGGUAGUUGGGAAGGUAACGGGUUACCAAGGCUACGAGGCGUAGCCGACCGGAGAGGGGGAUAGCCGACACUGGAGCGGAGACGCGGACAAGAGUCCUACGGGAGGCAGCAGUAGGGAACGGGACGCAAUGGGGGGGAGUCUGGCGGAGCGACGCGGAGUGAGUGGAGAAGGCGUUCGGAUCGUGAAGCUCUGUUAUGGGGGAAGAACCAAUGUGGCAGGUACCAUGCCCGUCUUGACGGUACCUGAUCAAAAAGCAACGGCUAACUACGUG